rnacentral:rRNA from 1 species
GACGAACGCUGGCGGCGUGCCUAAUACAUGCAAGUAGAACGCUGAAGGAGGAGCUUGCUUCUCCGGAUGAGUUGCGAACGGGUGAGUAACGCGUAGGUAACCUGCCUGGUAGCGGGGGAUAACUAUUGGAAGCGAUAGCUAAUACCGCAUAACAGUAGAUAUCGCAUGAUAGCUGCUUGAAAGGUGCAAUUGCACCACUACCAGAUGGACCUGCGUUGUAUUAGCUAGUUGGUGAGGUAACGGCUCACCAAGGCAACGAUACAUAGCCGACCUGAGAGGGUGAUCGGCCACACUGGGACUGAGACACGGCCCAGACUCCUACGGGAGGCAGCAGUAGGGAAUCUUCGGCAAUGGACGGAAGUCUGACCGAGCAACGCCGCGUGAGUGAAGAAGGUUUUCGGAUCGUAAAUGCUCUGUUGUAAUGAGAUAGAACGAUGUGUGAUGAUGUGGAAAUGUUCACA